CGUUAGUUCUCGCGUUAAUUCCGGCCGCGUUACAGGCACGCUCGCGACACGCUCUCGCACUCUGACAGCGACUGACAAUUUCCCCGUGCAACGAGUGAAUGCGGAUUUGGAAAGUAUGAGGAUCCGGGUUGGUGAUUUGCAGGACGCUUAAGUGAGAUCUUGAAAACGAAUCCUCAAGAAUCCUUCAUUUACUCAUAGUUUAUCAAAGAUGAUAUAACUGAAUACUUCGAACAAUACGCAGGACACGCGAUGAAUUGCCCAGCUUUUAUAUAUGCAUUUCCAAGAACUCUGACAGUGCGUUCUAACGGACAAUUAAAACGAAGAUGUGCAACGAAAAGGAACGAACAAUUGGGAACUCGGAAAAAA